CACAGAGGGUGCAAGCGUUGUUCGGAAUUAUUGGGCGUAAAGCGCGUGUAGGCGGCUUUGCAAGUCGGGUGUGAAAGCCCUCAGCUCAACUGAGGAAGUGCGCCCGAAACUGCAGAGCUUGAGUACCGGAGAGGAUGGCGGAAUUCCCCAAGUAGAGGUGAAAUUCGUAGAUAUGGGGAGGAACACCGGUGGCGAAGGCGGCCAUCUGGACGGAUACUGACGCUGAGACGCGAAAGCGUGGGGAGCAAACAGG
rnacentral:rRNA from 1 species